GAUGAACGCUGGCGGCGUGCCUAAUACAUGCAAGUCGAGCGAACAGAUGAUGAGCUUGCUCCUCUGACGUUAGCGGCGGACGGGUUAGUAACACGUUGAUAACCUACCUAUAAUACUGUGAUAACUUCGGGACACCGGAGCUAAUACCGGAUACUAUAUCUAACCACAUGGUUCAUUAGUGAAAGACGGUUUUGCUGUCACUUAUCUAUGUAUCCGCGCCGCAUUAGCUAGUUGGUAAGGUACCGGCUUACCAAGGCAACGAUGCGUAGCCGACCUGAGAGGGUGAUCGGCCACACUGGAACUGAGAAACGGUCCAGAGUCCUACGGGAGGCAGCAGUAGGGAAUCUUCCGAAAUGGGCGAAAGCCUGACGGAGCAACGCAGCGUGAGUGAUGAAGGUCUUCGGAUCGUAAAACUCUGUUAUUAGGGAAGAACAAAUGUGUAAGUAACUAUGCACGUCUUGACGGUACCUAAUCAGAAAGCCACGGCUAACUACGUG
rnacentral:rRNA from 1 species